AGGGCGUCGUGCCUUUAUAAGACUGCGUUAAUGUUUCCGUGGAGUUAUCCUUUCCGUUGUUGUUUAUUGCUUGUUAAACAUGGCUUCAUUUGCAAAGGUGGUUGUGUGUGUCCUCAUUGCUUGUGUCUGUAAUGCAUUCGGUUUUCCGAAGAGAGAUGUGAACUUUAAGGCCUCUGCAGUUGACCGCCAAAGUGAUGAUGUGGUUGUCACCACAACACCCGUUCCCCACAACCAGACCACCUCUGCCCAUACUGAAGCUGGUGGUGGUGCAAGUGAAGAUGCUCUGGCUACUACCCCAGCACCUAAUCCACACAACCAGACAACUUCUGCACAAACUGAAGUUACUGAUGGAGCCAGUGAAGAUGCUGUGGACCGCCAAAGUGAUGUGGUUGUCGCCACAACACCCAAUCCCCACAACCAGACCACAUCUGCCCCUACUGAAGCUGGUGAUGGAGCAAGUGAAGAUGCUGUGGCUACCACCCCAACACCAAAUCCCCCAACUACAUCUGACCACACUGCAGCUACGGUAAGGACAUCAGUGCAUGUCUGUUUUGAUGGAACACUUUGAAUGUUUGCGCCCCCCUUUUGACAGUGUCGCUUUCUAUUUGUGUGUAAUCGCAAGAUGAUGCAAGUGAGGGUGCUGUGGCUGCCCAAACUGGAACUACUG
rnacentral:lncRNA from 1 species